GCCACGGUGGUCUAGCGGUCAGAACGCUGGCCUUGUAAUCCUGGAGUCUCGGGUUCGAUUCCCGGCGGUGCCC
rnacentral:tRNA from 1 species